CCCGCACACUGACUCGGUACCGGUACCCCCUGUAUAUAGGCUCCACACUGACUCGGUACCGGUACCCCCUGUAUAUAGCCUCCACACUGACUAGGUACCGGUACCCCCUGUAUAUAGCCUCCACACUGACUCGGUACCGGUACCCCCUGUAUAUAGCCUCCACACUGACUCGGUACCGGUACCCCCUGUAUAUAGCCUCCACACUGACUCGGUACCGGUACCCCCUGUAUAUAGCCUCCACACUGACUAGGUACCGGUACCCCCUGUAUAUAGCCUCCACACUGACUCGGUACCGGUACCCCCUGUAUAUAGCCUCCACACUGACUCGGUACCAGUACCCCCUGUAUAUAGCCUCCACACUGACUCGGUACCAGUACCCCCUGUAUAUAGCCUCCACACUGACUCGGUACCGGUACCCCCCG
ensembl:lncRNA